rnacentral:rRNA from 1 species
AGUGAACGCUGGCGGUAGGCCUAACACAUGCAAGUCGAACGGCAGCACAGUAAGAGCUUGCUCUUACGGGUGGCGAGUGGCGGACGGGUGAGGAAUACAUCGGAAUCUACUUUUUCGUGGGGGAUAACGUAGGGAAACUUACGCUAAUACCGCAUACGACCUACGGGUGAAAGCAGGGGAUCUUCGGACCUUGCGCGAUUGAAUGAGCCGAUGUCGGAUUAGCUAGUUGGCGGGGUAAAGGCCCACCAAGGCGACGAUCCGUAGCUGGUCUGAGAGGAUGAUCAGCCACACUGGAACUGAGACACGGUCCAGACUCCUACGGGAGGCAGCAGUGGGGAAUAUUGGACAAUGGGCGCAAGCCUGAUCCAGCCAUACCGCGUUGGUGAAGAAGGCCUUCGGGUUGUAAAGCCCUUUUGUUGGGAAAGAAAAGCAGCAGGUUAAUACCCCGCUGUUCUGACGGUACCCUAAGAAUAAGCACCGGCUAACUUCGUG